rnacentral:snoRNA from 1 species
UCCAGCUGAGUCGGCUGCCCAUUGCUGCUCAGUGCUUGGUGAUAGUGUUAUGCUGCUGGGAAAUAAAUGUGCUGCCAAGUCACUCCUGGCACCACCAGUGCUGUUCUGGUGCUAGGGGGUGCCAGGUUUUGGCGGCACUCUGCAUGCUUUGAGAGUGGAGUAACUCCUCCUUGGUGGAGUUAAUCCUAGAUUGCAUGCAGACAAC